rnacentral:rRNA from 1 species
UACGUAGGGGGCAAGCGUUGUCCGGAUUCAUUGGGCGUAAAGAGCGUGUAGGCGGCCAGGUAGGUCGGUUGUGAAAACUGGAGGCUCAACCUUCAGAGGUCGACCGAAACCAUCUGGCUAGAGUACGGUAGAGGGGGAUGGAAUUCCGCGUGUAGCAGUGAAAUGCGUAGAUAUGCGGAGGAACACCGAUGGCGAAGGCAAUCCCCUGGACCUGUACUGACGCUCAUGCGCGAAAGCGUGGGUAGCAAACAGG